rnacentral:rRNA from 1 species
AACGUAGGUACCGAGCGUUAUCCGGAUUUACUGGGCGUAAAGCGCGUUCAGGCGGCUCAGCAAGUCGGGCAUGAAAUCUCUCGGCUCAACCGGGAGGGGCUGUCCGAAACUGCUGGGCUUGAGGGCAGUAGAGGGUGGUGGAAUUCCGGGUGUAGUGGUGAAAUGCGUAGAUAUCCGGAGGAACACCAGUGGCGAAAGUGGCCACCUGGACUGUACCUGACGCUCAAACGCGAAAGCUAGGGGAGCGAACGGG